CGUGGAUGGGUAAACCGAGAUUACGAAAGCAGGCGUGAGCAGUCGGGUCAGCGAGAUAAGAGUUAUCUGGCCUCUAGAUUGAAUGUAUCGUCAUGCUAUAGAGCAACGGCCGGGGCUUCAUAGUAAUAUUAAACUCAGCCAAGGCUGUGGUGGACGACGUGAUCCUUCACCAGUACCAUCACCAGUGAACUGCCCCGAACCAGAGCGUCACCAUAGACAAAAAAAAUUAUGCAAAUAAGUAGUGCCUUGGAAAGCCAGUUCAAAUGAAGUGGCUGUUUCUCCUCCUCCCCCAACAAAAUGAGGUGGUGCAUUUAGAAGAAGAAUAAAAAAAAUACUCUAAUGUGUUCUAAUAUAAGUAAAUCCCUAAAGUGUUUUCAAUAUUUGUGUUAUUAUUUACCCGACGCCAUGAGGCGGAAUUAUUGUCCCUUUGACGGAGAUGUUGGAGAGAGGCGAGUAUACAAAGGAAUAAUCAGCCGCUGACCACGCGGCAUUUCCAUUUCCACGCGACAUAAAGGGCUUCUAUCCGCGGCUUGAUCAUUAACCCGCAUUUUUGCAUAUAGUCUUCAGUCUUUAGGAGCAGGGGACGCGCUAUGUCUUUGCAUUCCAACUCCAUGGCUUCUUGUAUGAAGAAGUCAGUACAGUAUUAUUGGGAGGUGUGGUGGGGGGGGGGGGGGCAAAAGAAAAGAAAAAGCACAACAACUUCAGAUCAAAGCCGCAUUCUAAGUAUAUCAUGUGGAAAACCCCACCGGGAGCAGGGUGUGAAAAAUGAGAAGAAGGUUCAUCACCAAAAGGCAGAGCGGAGGACACGCUGCGAGGAACAGGGAAGAGGACGGUCGGCAGCGGGGGGAAUCCCUCUGCAUGGUAACGCGUCUCUUUCGCAGCCAAAGAAAGAAGAACGAUGUGGAGCUGUCACGGUUUUAUGGCUGGACGUGACCGUGAUGUGGAAACUAAUCUGGCACCUGAACCUUUCCCUGACCCGGCCAGAGGCGCAGAGAGUCCAGUGCGAAGUUACUUUGGGGUUGAAAAACCAGGAGAAGAAAGGAACCAAUUAAGAAGCCUAUACUUUUUCCCAACCCACUUUUUUUCCAGACUUGCCCUUUCCUCAAAAUUAGUGAAUGAUUAAUCGUGUAUUGCAUCUCUCCUGUUUUUCGCAUUAAACAAGUUAUUAUACAAACCAUGGCUCCUUAUCACUGUCAGCACAGAGGAGUCAGAGGCGCACGGCUCUGGACGCUGGCCAGGCGGAGGUCCAUAUCUCCCCACAAUGUUGACACUCGGAGCUCUUAACAGCCGGGCUUGGGUUACCUACACUCAGCCGAAGAUAACUCUUUCUGCGAGGACUACAUCGGCCAGCAUUAAGGCCAAUAUAAAAAUUCAACUCUUUCGGCAGACUUGGGGACAUCUCCCAUGCGAUGCAGACGAAACGGGAGAACGUUUACGUGAAUCUGGGUUGUGAUGAAAUUAUUUUAGCGUUGAACUUAACUUGGUGACGGAGAAUGGGCCUUGAUUAUACAGCAAUACAGUCUCCGUAUUAGCAUUGCUUUAUGCACAUCGUCACAUACACUACAGGGAGUUGGUUUUAAUCUUAGUCUAAAUGACCCAUUUUGUUCACUCUCAUUGAAAGGCUCUUCGCGCAACAGAACACCUUCGCAUUGUUGCUGUACAAAUCUUUAAAUUUCAUAGUGAAAUGAAUAAAUUGUUAUUAUUUUUUAGGAUUGUUAUCAAAGGGAGAAGACCAAAAUAUUAUCUUCCAUCUGUCAUGUCUUUAUGGGGAACUUUGCAUAAAUUUAUUUGACCCCUUUCCAUGUCAAUUUUAAGUGUUUGUAUUACUUCUGCACAAUAAAGUUCCAACUUCAUCCACGAUAUAUUACCUCUGCAAUCCUGUGUAAAAUCAAUUUAUUUCAAACAAAUAUGCAAAACAUAUUUACAUAAAAUAUGGGUUUACAGGGUGAUUAUUGAAUUCCAUAAACUUCAUUUUUGGUUGUUUAAAGAUUAACAUUGCAGUAUUAUAUUUCCUAGGAGGUUCAAGCACGAACACAUAUAGAUAUUAUUAAGAAUGUGUUUGUGUCAAUUAAAAGCGUUUGCAUUGUGGGGAAACACAAUUUGUUGAGUGCAAUGCGUAAUUGUAAAAUGAACAAAUUCAGAAACUAAACUAAGUUAAAGCUUGAAAUAAUCAGAUAAUAUCACAAUAUAUGUAAAUACACUUUCGCAAGAAGAAGCAAACUCCACCUCUGUGAUAUUCAUACCACAUUCUAACACCCACAAAAAUGGUUUUACUCACAAGUCAUGACGGUCAGUUUCCAGCGGAAAGGGUUCUGUGACAGUCAGAUGAGAAGAGAUCUGACUUUCACCCUCCAGAGGAUCACAUCAAAUGAAAAUAAGGCAAAUGUUCUGAUCUAUUUCUGACCCCGGGGCAUUCAUUAUUCAACAAGUCACGUGAAAGGGUGCAUUAAAAUUUCAGUACAUUGCAAGUGACCUCUAUUCGCGAAUCAAAUGACUUGAAUUCUUAUAAUUUAACCAUCGGACUUUUUAGUCUGGGCCAAACCGGUGCCACUCAGCGUCAACGCCAUCUUCUGCACAGCUCUCAUGUCUGCAGCAAGUGCCACGCAGAGGAAAGCGCAUUAUAUGCGGAGAGAAUUUUCUUAAACGGUUGGCCGAAUGAUGCAAUAAAAAUCGUAACAAUAUUUUUUUUGGGGGGGGGGUUGAACUAUGAUUGUAGGAAUUUUCGGUGGGAUUUUUAGUCAGUGAUAGUGUGAUAGUGUUAUUUGAUUUACUAUUAAAUUCACUGCCAAGCCACCCAUUGUGAUACUAUUGGUAUACGUAUAUAUUGAACGGAAAAUGCACCAAAACAUAUUGAAAAUGUUGCACAAUGCCAGCAUGUUUCAGUUGACACGGUGCCCUCAUUGAGCUGGCAGGGGUGUUGCUGUGAUAUAUUGCAGAAGAGCUGUCUUCUAGGAAUAAUUUGGGGGGAAAUUCAUGGCUCGGUUUCACACCUAACACCGUUUUUGUUUCAGCGCUUUCUCUGGGCAAAUCGUAUACGAGGAGAAGAAGCCCGUGGAGGUCUUAGCACUGAUG
ensembl:lncRNA